GUGUGAAUUGUAGAAUCCCGUGAACCAUCGAGUCUUUGAACGCAAGUUGCGCCCAAAGCCCUCAUGGCCAGAGCACGUCUGUCUAGGCAUCAUGCACCGCGUCGCCCCCACCCCCUCCGGGGAGUCGGGGUGGAGACUGGCCCCUAACGCCCCCGAGCGCGGCAGGUCUAAACACAGACCCCGCGGCCGCGAAACGGCGUGACGAUUGGUGGAGUAGUCCCUACGCAUCGCGUCGCGCCCCAAGCGGUCCCCGACGGCCAAGGGAAGACCCAUACUAACUGUUGCGACCCUAGAUCAGGCGAGACUACCCGCUGAGUUUAAGCAUAUCACUAAGCGGAUGAAAAGAAACUUACAAGGAUUCCCCUAGUAAUGGCAAGCGAACCGGGAAGAGCCCAACUUUAGAAUCGGGCGGCCCCGCCGRARGAAUUGUAGUC
rnacentral:rRNA from 1 species